rnacentral:rRNA from 1 species
AUUGAACGCUGGCGGCAUGCCUUACACAUGCAAGUCGAACGGUAACAGGCCGCAAGGUGCUGACGAGUGGCGAACGGGUGAGUAAUGUAUCGGAACGUGCCCAGUCGUGGGGGAUAACUGCUCGAAAGAGCAGCUAAUACCGCAUACGACCUGAGGGUGAAAGCGGGGGAUCGCAAGACCUCGCGCGAUUGGAGCGGCCGAUAUCAGAUUAGGUAGUUGGUGGGGUAAAGGCCCACCAAGCCAACGAUCUGUAGCUGGUCUGAGAGGACGACCAGCCACACUGGGACUGAGACACGGCCCAGACUCCUACGGGAGGCAGCAGUGGGGAAUUUUGGACAAUGGACGCAAGUCUGAUCCAGCCAUGCCGCGUGCGGGAAGAAGG